CCUACGGGAGGCAGCAGUGAGGAAUAUUGGUCAAUGGGCUUACGCCUGAACCAGCCAAGUCGCGUGAGGGAAGACUGCCCUAUGGGUUGUAAACCUCUUUUGUCAGGGAGCAACGCCGGCUACGUGUAGCCGGACUGAGAGUACCUGAAGAAAAAGCAUCGGCUAACUCCGUGCCAGCAGCCGCGGUAAUACGGAGGAUGCGAGCGGUAUCCGGAUUUAUUGGGUUUAAAGGGUGCGUAGGCGGAAUGCCAAGUCAGCGGUAAAGUCGCGGGGCUCAACCUCGCUCCGCCGUUGAAACUGGCGUUCUUGAGUGGGCGAGAAGUAUGCGGAAUGCGUGGUGUAGCGGUGAAAUGCAUAGAUAUCACGCAGAACUACGAUUGCGAAGGCAGCAUACCGGCGCCCAACUGACGCUGAAGCACGAAAGCGUGGGUAUCGAACAGGAUUAGAUACCCGAGUAGUC
rnacentral:rRNA from 1 species